GGGUUGUGAGGUUAAGCGACUAAGCGUACACGGUGGAUGCCCUGGCAGUCAGAGGCGAUGAAGGACGUGCUAAUCUGCGAUAAGCGUCGGUGAGGUGAUAUGAACCGUUAUAACCGGCGAUUUCCGAAUGGGGAAACCCAGUGUGUUUCGACACACUAUCAUUAACUGAAUCCAUAGGUUAAUGAGGCGAACCGGGGGAACUGAAACAUCUAAGUACCCCGAGGAAAAGAAAUCAACCGAGAUUCCCCCAGUAGCGGCGAGCGAACGGGGAGGAGCCCAGAGCCUGAAUCAGUGUGUGUGUUAGUGGAAGCGUCUGGAAAGGCGCGCGAUACAGGGUGACAGCCCCGUACACAAAAAUGCACAUAUUGUGAGCUCGAUGAGUAGGGCGGGACACGUGGUAUCCUGUCUGAAUAUGGGGGGACCAUCCUCCAAGGCUAAAUACUCCUGACUGACCGAUAGUGAACCAGUACCGUGAGGGAAAGGCGAAAAGAACCCCGGCGAGGGGAGUGAAAAAGAACCUGAAACCGUGUACGUACAAGCAGUGGGAGCCUCUUAAUGGGGUGACUGCGUACCUUUUGUAUAAUGGGUCAGCGACUUAUAUUCUGUAGCAAGGUUAACCGAAUAGGGGAGCCGAAGGGAAACCGAGUCUUAACUGGGCGUUAAGUUGCAGGGUAUAGACCCGAAACCCGGUGAUCUAGCCAUGGGCAGGUUGAAGGUUGGGUAACACUAACUGGAGGACCGAACCGACUAAUGUUGAAAAAUUAGCGGAUGACUUGUGGCUGGGGGUGAAAGGCCAAUCAAACCGGGAGAUAGCUGGUUCUCCCCGAAAGCUAUUUAGGUAGCGCCUCGUGAAUUCAUCUCCGGGGGUAGAGCACUGUUUCGGCAAGGGGGUCAUCCCGACUUACCAACCCGAUGCAAACUGCGAAUACCGGAGAAUGUUAUCACGGGAGACACACGGCGGGUGCUAACGUCCGUCGUGAAGAGGGAAACAACCCAGACCGCCAGCUAAGGUCCCAAAGUCAUGGUUAAGUGGGAAACGAUGUGGGAAGGCCCAGACAGCCAGGAUGUUGGCUUAGAAGCAGCCAUCAUUUAAAGAAAGCGUAAUAGCUCACUGGUCGAGUCGGCCUGCGCGGAAGAUGUAACGGGGCUAAACCAUGCACCGAAGCUGCGGCAGCGACGCUUAUGCGUUGUUGGGUAGGGGAGCGUUCUGUAAGCCUGCGAAGGUGUGCUGUGAGGCAUGCUGGAGGUAUCAGAAGUGCGAAUGCUGACAUAAGUAACGAUAAAGCGGGUGAAAAGCCCGCUCGCCGGAAGACCAAGGGUUCCUGUCCAACGUUAAUCGGGGCAGGGUGAGUCGACUCCUAAGGCGAGGCCGAAAGGCGUAGUCGAUGGGAAACAGGUUAAUAUUCCUGUACUUGGUGUUACUGCGAAGGGGGGACGGAGAAGGCUAUGUUGGCCGGGCGACGGUUGUCCCGGUUUAAGCGUGUAGGCUGGU
rnacentral:rRNA from 1 species